UCCAGACUCCUACGGGAGGCAGCAGUGGGGGAUAUUGCACAAUGGGGGGAACCCUGAUGCAGCGACGCCGCGUGGGUGAAGGAGCGUUUCGGCGCGUAAAGCCCUAUCGGCAGGGAAGAAGGAGGACGGUACCUGACUAAGAAGCCCCGGCUAACUACGUGCCAGCAGCCGCGGUAAUACGUAGGGGGCAAGCGUUAUCCGGAUUUACUGGGUGUAAAGGGGGCGCAGGCGGCAGCGCAAGCCAGGAGUGAAAGCCCGGGGCCCAACCCCGGGACUGCUCUUGGAACUGCGCGGCUGGAGUGCAGGAGGGGCAGGCGGAAUUCCUGGUGUAGCGGUGAAAUGCGUAGAUAUCAGGAGGAACACCGGUGGCGAAGGCGGCCUGCUGGACUGCGACUGACGUUGAGGCCCGAAAGCGUGGGGAGCAAACAGGAUUAGAUACCCCUGUAUUA
rnacentral:rRNA from 1 species